CACAUCCUGGUGCAAGACACAUCCGUGGUGCAGCAAAUGGGCAGAACCCAUUCUAUUGGCCUGGCUAGGAAAUCGCGAAUUGCAUAGGAAAUUUCAUAGAGAUGCAGCAACCAUCCUGGGUUCAGUGGGAAGUGCCAGAGUGGUGCUUAACCAAAUGGAUAUAGAGGUAGUGUGAAAUAAGCUUGCUAGGAUGGAACAACUUACCCACCAAGCACUAAAGGGUCAAAUUGUGGCUAAUACAGAAUAUCAGGAGAAUCAUGUUAAAACUGUAACAGUGGCCGUGCAACCACUCAAGCAGCUACAUUCCAUUAUGCAUUCAGUGUUAGAAGGAUACUUAGCUAAUGAAACAGGUUUUGCUAUAUCUUGUGUAACUAUGCAAACCUUCGUAUUACACCAAUAGAAAAAACAGGCACUUUGGAUCAAGUCAGGGGAUCCAGCAGUCAUAUCCAAUUCCUAUGCUGAAUGGUGUCCUGAAUGUAAAGCCCUCUUUGCGAAGGUCAUCUCCUCUGGGAUUAACAAGCCCUUGAGAGGAUAUAUUCAUGUGAGAUUGGUGGGGGUGGAGACCAAAACCUGGCCCUUCUAUGACUAUGUCCCAAUCCCUAUAGUGUUGGCGGGGAGGGUUUGGUCCCCCAGGUCCCCUGCUAAAUGGGUGUCUCAGACAAAAGAGCUCCUAGACCCCAGAGGGUGCAAACAAUGGGGCCAUCAUGCAUGGAUGUGCUAUCAUGAAGAUUUCCUAAUGGACCCUUGUCAUCUACAUCAGGAUAGUGUAGGCGAUUGUGUGUUAGAUGAAAUCUUUAACCAAACCACUGUAGUAGUGAACAAUGCCAUUGGGUGUCUAUGUGUUGCUUCAGUGACCCCAGUAACUUGAAACAACA